GUGGCUGAGUGUGGCUGAGUGCGUGAGCGUGCGAGCGGGUGCGCGACGGCGAGUGUGCGUGCGUGUGAAUGUGAGUGUGAGCGCGUGUGUGUGGGUGAGUGCGCGCGCGUGAGUGUGUAAGGGCAAGUGUGUGCGUGUGAAUGUGUGUGAGGGUGUGCGUGAGGGAGUGUGAGAGUGAGUAGGGCUGUGAGGGUGUGUGUGAGGGCGAGUGUGUGUGAGGGUGUGUGAGGGUAUGUGAACGAGUGUGUGUCUGUGUGAGUGUGAGCAAGUGUGUGUGUGUGAGCGAGUGUGUGAGUGUGUGUGUGAGUGUGGGUGUGUGAGCAAGUAUGUGUGUGUACGUGAGUGUGUGAAUGUGGGUGAGGGAGUGUGAGUGAGUGUGAGUGGUGGUUGGUGUGAGGGUGUGUGUGUGAGGGUAUGUGAGCGACUGUGUGUGUGUGUGUGUGUGUGUGAGCAAGUAUGUGUGUAAGCGGGUGUGUGAGUGUUAGCGAGUGUGUGUGUGUGUGUGAGUGUUAGCGAGUAUACGUGUGAGUGUGAGUGUGUGCGUGUGUGCGUGUGCGCGCGUCUGGGGGUGGAGGCGGCAAGCCAUUUAGGCCAGCGCCAUCUCCAGUCCUGCGCCCAGAGCAUUGUCAUGGAAAUACACCUUCUGCGGUUGUUUUUUUU